UAACAAGCAAUUAUCUAUAAAUAAGAGGUUUAAGCUGGCCGCCGGAUCAAAUCGAAGGUUUCUCUUCCAAACGGAGUUUGUCAAGUUAUUGGGGGGUAAACGCAAUACGUAAUAAAGAAAACAGUGUCAUGAAGUUACUCAUCAUUUUGCCACUCGCUUUUGCAAUCGUUGUUGAUGCUGGUAUUAUGGGAGAUAUCGGGAACUUGGCUAGUGACCUCGCAGAUAACUUAACUCAAGGCGUAGAGCGGAUAGACACCGGUAGCAUCGCUGAUGAUCUCGUAGGUCGUACCGCAGCUGAUCACACCAGUGACCUAAGUAAAGGCUUAAGUGAAGGCAUAGAGGGUUUAUCCAGUGUUACGAAAAUACCAAACAAUGACAAUCUGCCACUUCCGGGCAAGGUUAAAGACUUGCUGACUUUGUUGUGAGUUCAUGAGUCAACCAAGUAAAAAGUUGGACAGAUGCUGCAAUACAGUCAAAUAUCUCGAAAUAAUAAAUAAAUUAUUCAAGAAAAAA